GAUGAACGCUGGCGGCGUGCCUAAUACAUGCAAGUCGAGCGAACAGACGAGGAGCUUGCUCCUCUGACGUUAGCGGCGGACGGGUGAGUAACACGUGGAUAACCUACCUAUAAGACUGGGAUAACUUCGGGAAACCGGAGCUAAUACCGGAUAAUAUAUUGAACCGCAUGGUUCAAUAGUGAAAGACGGUUUUGCUGUCACUUAUAGAUGGAUCCGCGCCGCAUUAGCUAGUUGGUAAGGUAACAGCUUACCAAGGCAACGAUGCGUAGCCGACCUGAGAGGGUGAUCGCCCACACUGGAACUGAGACACGGUCCAGACUCCUACGGGAGGCAGCAGUAGGGAAUCUUCCGCAAUGGGCGAAAGCCUGACGGAGCAACGCCGCGUGAGUGAUGAAGGUCUUCGGAUCGUAAAACUCUGUUAUUAGGGAAGAACAAAUGUGUAAGUAACUAUGCACGUCUUGACGGUACCUAAUCAGAAAGCCACGGCUAACUACGUG
rnacentral:rRNA from 1 species